GCCGAUUUGGCUCAGUGGAUAGAGCGUUGGCCUGCGGAUUCAAGGGUCCUGGGUUCGAUUCCAGUCAAGGGCA
rnacentral:tRNA from 1 species